rnacentral:rRNA from 1 species
GACGAACGCUGGCGGCGUGCUUAACACAUGCGAGUCGAACGGAAAGGCCCUGCUUUUGUGGGGUGCUCGAGUGGCGAACGGGUGAGUAACACGUGAGUAACCUGCCCUUGACUUUGGGAUAACUUCAGGAAACUGGGGCUAAUACCGGAUAGGAUCUCCUGCUGCAUGGUGGGGGUUGGAAAGUUUCGGCGGUUGGGGAUGGACUCGCGGCUUAUCAGCUUGUUGGUGGGGUAGUGGCUUACCAAGGCUUUGACGGGUAGCCGGCCUGAGAGGGUGACCGGCCACAUUGGGACUGAGAUACGGCCCAGACUCCUACGGGAGGCAGCAGUGGGGAAUAUUGCACAAUGGGCGGAAGCCUGAUGCAUCAACGCCGCGUGCGGGAUGACGGCCUUCGGGUUGUAAACCGCUUUCGCCUGUGACGAAGCGUGAGUGACGGUAAUGGGUAAAGAAGCACCGGCUAACUACGUG